rnacentral:rRNA from 1 species
CGACCGGCGCACGGGUGAGUAACGCGUAUCCAACCUGCCCUUUACUAUGGGACAGCCCGUCGAAAGGCGGAUUAAUACCGUAUGUUGUCAUGUUGAUGCAUAUUUUCAUGACCAAAGGCUUCGGCCGGUAAAGGAUGGGGAUGCGUCUGAUUAGCUUGCCGGCGGGGUAACGGCCCACCGAGGCAUCGAUGGAUAGGGGUUCUGAGAGGAAGGUCCCCCACAUUGGAACUGAGACACGGUCCAAACUCCUACGGGAGGCAGCAG